rnacentral:misc_RNA from 1 species
UUUCCGUAGGUGAACCUGCGGAAGGAUCAUUAUCGUAAAACCGAGGUGCGAGGGCUGUCGCUGACCUUUUCGGUCGUGCACGCCCGAGCGCUCUCACACAAUCCAUCUCACCCCUUGUGCACCACCGCGUUGGUCCCUUUCUGGCUCGUCCGGAGGGGGGCUCGCGUUUUCCCACAAACUUGAAGUAGUGUAGAAUGUCCUUUUUUUGCGAUAACACACAAUCAAUACAACUUUCAACAACGGAUCUCUUGGCUCUC